rnacentral:rRNA from 1 species
CCGUGAUAAGGGGACACCGAGUGCCAGCAUCAUAUGCUGGCUGUCCGGGUGUGUAAAAUACACCUGUUAGCAAGGGCCGGGCAAGACCGGUGCCAGCCGCCGCGGUAACACCGGCGGCCCGAGUGGUGAUCGUGAUUAUUGGGUCUAAAGGGUCCGUAGCCGGUUUGGUCAGUCCUCCGGGAAAUCUGACAGCUCAACUGUUAGGCUUUCGGAGGAUACUGCCAGACUUGGAACCGGGAGAGGUAAGAGGUACUACAGGGGUAGGAGUGAAAUCUUGUAAUCCCUGUGGGACCACCUGUGGCGAAGGCGUCUUACCAGAACGGGUUCGACGGUGAGGGACGAAAGCUGGGGGCACGAACCGGAUUAGAUACCCGGGUAGUCCCAGCCGUAAACGAUGCUCGCUAGGUGUCAGGCAUGGCGCGACCGUGUCUGGUGCCGCAGGGAAGCCGUGAAGCGAGCCACCUGGGAAGUACGGCCGCAAGGCUGAAACUUAA